AAGACACUUGCGUAUUUUAAUUUUUUCAGAAUAUUAGAAGUUUCAUUAGUAAGAAUACUGAGAGUUUUUUUUUUGUUGUUGAAAAAAGGGAAGUGAUGAAGUGAAAACCCGGAUUUGCCCCUUAAUCACCUCUAGUUUUGUGGUGGUCGGGGUGGGGGUUGGUGCCGGAGAUCGGAAAAAACUGAAAACAGGUUGCAAUGUGGUGGCGGUUUAUUUAAUCAGGUUGUGGGUGCAUUGGGUUUUUGGUUAAUUUGGGUUUGUUGAUGAUACCAAUGCAUGUGAGGGGAAAUGGAGUUUCGGAUAAGAAGAAGAUGAUGCCUAUUCUUGGGAUCUGCAUGUGGGGGAACCAUAAGAUCUCAGUAUUGGAUUGGUUUUGCUCUCCAAGAGAGGAUGUCUAUAUUUAUUCUUUCUUCUGGUUUAUGAUUAGCGUUGGUGCUGAAAUAAUGAUUUAAUAUAGUAAAUGGGCUGAAGACGACUUGCUCAAUGUUGAGGACGUUAGCAUCAGCUUUGUUGGUU
rnacentral:misc_RNA from 1 species